AUUGAACGCUGGCGGCAUGCCUUACACAUGCAAGUCGAACGGUAACGGGCCUUCGGGUGCCGACGAGUGGCGAACGGGUGAGUAAUACAUCGGAACGUGCCCGAUCGUGGGGGAUAACGAGGCGAAAGCUUUGCUAAUACCGCAUACGAUCUACGGAUGAAAGCAGGGGACCGCAAGGCCUUGCGCGGACGGAGCGGCCGAUGGCAGAUUAGGUAGUUGGUGGGAUAAAAGCUUACCAAGCCGACGAUCUGUAGCUGGUCUGAGAGGAUGAUCAGCCACACUGGGACUGAGACACGGCCCAGACUCCUACGGGAGGCAGCAGUGGGGAAUUUUGGACAAUGGGCGCAAGCCUGAUCCAGCCAUGCCGCGUGCAGGAUGAAGGCCUUCGGGUCGUAAACUGCUUUUGUACGGAACGAAAAGCCUUCUUUUAAUACAGGAGGGUCAUGACGGUACCGUAAGAAUAAGCACCGGCUAACUACGUG
rnacentral:rRNA from 1 species